rnacentral:rRNA from 1 species
UACGUAGGGUGCAAGCGUUGUCCGGAAUUAUUGGGCGUAAAGAGCUCGUAGGCGGUCUGUCGCGUCGGCUGUGAAAACUCGGGGCUCAACUCCGAGCUUGCAGUCGAUACGGGCAGGCUAGAGUUCGGCAGGGGAGACUGGAAUUCCUGGUGUAGCGGUGAAAUGCGCAGAUAUCAGGAGGAACACCGGUGGCGAAGGCGGGUCUCUGGGCAGUAACUGACGCUGAGGAGCGAAAGCGUGGGGAGCGAACAGG